GUCCAGUAGACAUAUUUGAUAUUUUUACAAAUCUGUUAUGGCUUGUGGAGGAGGGCAGAUUCCAAUUUCCUGUAGUCUUUGUGAGGAAGAUUCUAGAAUUAAAUGGAAGUGUUUGAAUUGUGACAUGCUAUUGUGUGACAAGUGUAACAUGAAAAUUCAUGUAAUAUAUAAAUUUGCUAAGAACCAUAAAGUUAUAUCUAUUCAGGAUAUAGGGCUCCAUGACGAAGAAAUAGAUUUUACCAAUUUGAGUUGUAAAAAUCAUGUUAACCAGAUUUGCUUCAUGUUUUGCAAAACAUGCAGUGACUGCUUAGUAUGUCCACUAUGCA
rnacentral:lncRNA from 1 species